AUUGAACGCUGGCGGCAUGCCUUACACAUGCAAGUCGAACGGCAGCACGGGUGCUUGCACCUGGUGGCGAGUGGCGAACGGGUGAGUAAUACAUCGGAACGUACCUUAUCGUGGGGGAUAACGCAGCGAAAGCUGUGCUAAUACCGCAUACGCCCUGAGGGGGAAAGCGGGGGAUCGAAAGACCUCGCGCGAUUAGAGCGGCCGAUGCCUGACUAGCUUGUUGGUGGGGUAAAAGCCCACCAAGGCGACGAUCAGUAGCUGGUCUGAGAGGACGAUCAGCCACACUGGGACUGAGACACGGCCCAGACUCCUACGGGAGGCAGCAGUGGGGAAUUUUGGACAAUGGGGGCAACCCUGAUCCAGCGAUGCCGCGUGAGUGAAGAAGGCCUUCGGGUUGUAAAGCUCUUUUGUCAGGGAAGAAACACCGGCUCUAACACAGUCCGGGAAUGACGGUACCUGAAGAAUAAGCACCGGCUAACUACGUGCCAGCCGCCGCAGUAA
rnacentral:rRNA from 1 species